CAAGCCUCCCGGUCAAAUCGUCU
rnacentral:siRNA from 1 species